rnacentral:rRNA from 1 species
CUGACACAGGGAGGUAGUGACAAUAAAUAACAAUGCCGGGCCUAUACAGGUCUGGCAAUUGGAAUGAGAACAAUUUAAAUCCCUUAUCGAGUAUCAAUUGGAGGGCAAGUCUGGUGCCAGCAGCCGCGGUAAUUCCAGCUCCAAUAGCGUAUAUUAAAGUUGUUGCAGUUAAAAAGCUCGUAGUUGGAUUUCUGGCAGGAGCGACCGGUCACACACUCUGUGUGUGAACUUGUGUUGUCUCUGGCCAUCCUUGGGAAGAUCCUGUUUGGCAUUAAGUUGUCGGGCAGGGGAUACCCAUCGUUUACUGUGAAAAAUUAGAGUGUUCAAAGCAGGCUUAUGCCUUGAAUAUAUUAGCAUGGAAUAAUAAUAUAGGACCUUAGUACUAUUUUUGUUGGUUUUGCGCACUGAGGUAAUGAUUAAGAGGGACAGUUGGGGGUAUUUGUAUUCCAUUGUCAGAGGUGAAAUUCUUGGAUUUUUGGAAGCAAACUACUGCGAAAGCA